UCUGCCCCAAGAAACAUCACAGAUAUGACUGCUGUAUCACAUGUUUGUCAGUAGGUGGCAAGGAGAAAGACUACGUCUACACUUAGUGUUCUGACUUAUGAACAUCACAAUGUUUAGUAGCCUAGCAUU